AAGCAACAAUAAUUAACGAAACAAGAAACCCAGAGAUCCUUCCAAGCUAACACCAUCAAAGAAAGUGAGUCAGUACAGGCAAUCGGAAUAAACCUCCGGGUGGCACCCCACAAAUAAAGUGCAACACCAAGCCAGCUAUCCCUGCAAGAGUAUGUGAGCCCUCACAAAAACUCAACGAACGGGUUAGAGUAACAGGAUGGAAUCGGGAGAAAAC
rnacentral:lncRNA from 1 species